rnacentral:misc_RNA from 1 species
UUAAGUUCAGCGGGUAUCCCUACCUGAUUUGAGGUCAAAUUGUCAAAAUUGUCCAAGUCAAUGGACGGUUAGAAGCUGAACUUCAUAAAACUGCUUCACAUCCACGGCGUAGAUAAUUAUCACACCAAUAGACGGUCCACAAAAGUUCCACUAAUGCAUUUAAGGAGAGCUGACCUCAUUAAUGAAGCCCACAACCCCAC